GUGGCCGAGUCGGGUGGGGGCACGCAGGGGCCGGGCUGACCGUUCCGGAGAGCCCGAGCCGGUCCUGCAGAGGCCUGCAGCCGCACCUGCAUGAACCGAGUCCUGUGGGGCACGCAGGGGCUGGGCCGACCGGUCUGGCAAGCCCGAGCCGGUCCUGCAGAGGCCUCCAGCUGCGGCUUUAGUGUGACCAAGUGUUGUGGGGGUCCCCAGGGGCCGGUCUGACCGGUCUGGCGAGCCCGAGCCGGUCGUGCAGAGGGAGCCAGCUGCGGCUUUAGUGUGACCGAGUGCUGUGCGGGCCCGCACGGGCCGGUCUGAGCGGUCCGGCGACCGGGACCGGCUCCUUCAGCAUGCUCCAGCCACAGCUGCGGAGGAGGCCGAGUCCGGUGGGGGCACGCAGGGGUCCGGGUGACCAGUCCGGCGAGCCUGAGCUGGUCCUGUACAGGCCACCAGCCGCACCUGCAGUGAGACCGAGUCCUGUGGGGCACACAGGGGCCAGGCCGACCAUUCCGGAGGGCCCGAGCCGGUCCUGCAGAGGCCUCCAGCUGCGGCUUUAGUGUGACCGAGUGCUGUGCGGGCCCGCAGGGGCCGGUGCGAGCGGUCCGGCGACCGGGAUCGGCUCCUUCAGCAUGCUCCAGCCGCAGCUGCGGAGGAGGCCGAUCCUUUUGGGGCACUGAGGGGCCGGGCCGACCGUUCCGGAGGGCCCGAGCCGGUCCUGCAGAGGCCUCCAGC
ensembl:lncRNA